UACGUAGGGGGCAAGCGUUGUCCGGAAUCAUUGGGCGUAAAGCGCGUGUAGGCGGCCAGAAAAGUCCGCUGUGAAAACUCGAGGCUCAACUUCGAGCUGUCGGUGGAAACUUUCUGGCUAGAGUCCGGAAGAGGAGAAUGGAAUUCCCGGUGUAGCGGUGAAAUGCGCAGAUAUCGGGAAGAACACCCGUGGCGAAAGGCGGUUCUCUGGGACGGUACUGACGCUGAGACGCGAAAGCGUGGGGAGCGAACAGG
rnacentral:rRNA from 1 species